UACGGAGGGUGCUAGCGUUGUUCGGAAUUACUGGGCGUAAAGGGCGCGUAGGCGGCUUUAUAAGUCGGGGGUGAAAGCCUGUGGCUCAACCACAGAAUUGCCUUCGAUACUGUAGAGCUUGAGACCGGGAGAGGUGAGUGGAACUGCGAGUGUAGAGGUGAAAUUCGUAGAUAUUCGCAAGAACACCAGUGGCGAAGGCGGCUCACUGGCCCGAUACUGACGCUGAGGUGCGAAAGCGUGGGGAGCAAACAGG
rnacentral:rRNA from 1 species